rnacentral:lncRNA from 1 species
CUUUCAAAAAGCAUUUGAAGUGACUUACAAUUGUUAAACAUGUGUAAAAUAGGACAGUUAAAAUUGGGUUUUGGAAAAAUAAAAAAUUUGUAGGAGAUAGAACUAUACUAACCCAACCCUAACUAUACUAACUCUAAAAUUGAAUGGUAAAUUUAACUCCCAAGUUUCCCCAUGGACAAAAUCAAAGAAUAAUACGGGGUUAUGUCAAGUUUUCUGUCAAUAAAGUGACUAAUGUCCAUGAGUAAGAAAAAUGUGUUUACAUUUUUAAAGAAUGUGGGCAUUGUGUUCUUAUGACACAAAGAUGCAGCUAAUAAGCAUACUGUAAUGUUUAAUGUGUUGAAAGUUGAAUCAAAAGGUAUCAUUCUGG